UACUAGAGUAGCACUCGCAUAUCAAUAAGCGGAGGAAAAGAAACUAACAAGGAUUCCCCUAGUAACGGCGAGUGAAGCGGGAAGAGCUCAAAUUUGAAAUCUUAAAGGGUUUCCCUUUACGAAUUGUAGUUUAAAGAAGUGUUUUCUGUUGAGGUUUUGGUAAAAGUUCCUUGGAAUAGGACAUCAUAGAGGGUGAGAAUCCCGUAUUUGACCUUUACUUUCAACUUUGUGAUACACUUUCAAAGAGUCGGAUUGUUUGGGAAUGCAGUCCAAAAUGGGUGGUAAAUUUCAUCUAAAGCUAAAUAUUGGCGAGAGACCGAUAGCGAACAAGUACCGUGAGGGAAAGAUGAAAAGAACUUUGAAAAGAGAGUUAAACAGUACGUGAAAUUGUCAAAAGGGAAGCGUUUGACACCAGUGUUGUUUUUCUGAAAAUCAAUUAAAGAACUGUUUAUGCUAAGCUGUUUAGACUUUAUCAGCUAUCUGUUUAGUUUUAGGCUUUUCUUUAAUGCACUUUUCAGUUAACAAGUCAACAUCAAUUUCUUUUGCUGUAAAAAAGCUUGAGGAAGGUGGCUUGAGAUUCGUCUUAAGUGUUUAUAGCCUCUUGCCUAUGCAGUCGGAGAGAUUGAGGUCUGCAGCGUAGAUCCUUCGGGGCUAAAUGCAUUUGUGCUAAGUUAUAGCAUUUUAUAGACAACUUGUUGACUAUGAUUUGUCUUGUAGCUUACUCGCUUAUGUUAUUUUACCUACGCUUAGGAUGUUGAGCGCAUGUCUCUCUCU
rnacentral:rRNA from 1 species